rnacentral:rRNA from 1 species
UACGUAGAAGGCGAGCGUUAUCCGGAUUUAUUGGGCGUAAAGAGGGCGUAGGUGGCUUUUCAAGUCGGAUGUAAAAUCUCCCGGCUUAACUGGGAGGGACCGUUCGAUACUGUUGGGCUAGAGUGCAGCAGAGGGAGAUGGAAUUCCCGGUGUAGUGGUGAAAUGCGUAGAUAUCGGGAGGAACACCAGUGGCGAAGGCGGUCUCCUGGGCUGUUACUGACACUGAGGCCCGAAAGCGUGGGGAGCAAACAGGAUUAGAUACCCCCGUA